rnacentral:lncRNA from 1 species
UUUACCCUUAACUUUGAUUUCUCUCAAAGAUCAUAUACUAAGUGCUUCUCAAAUACUUAAAAAUAUUUUCACAUCUAUCUAGUACUCUUAGUCUGAAUUUAACUAAUAUUUGCUCAUGACACUCACAGCAAAGAUGUAUUAGGUCAUGUACAUAGUAUAUAUGAGGCUCCCACUAGCAAAAGCAUAAAGGAUUUAGCUCAUGUGCUAUAUCUCCACAGAUAUGUCCCGCACAUCUUCUCAGAGAAAU